rnacentral:misc_RNA from 1 species
GAAAUGCGAUAAGUAAUGUGAAUUGCAGAUUUCUAGUGAAUCAUCGAAUUUUUGAACGCACAUUGCGCCCGGUGGUAUUCCGCCGGGCAUGCCUGUUCGAGUGUCAUUACAACCUCAAGCUUUGCUUGGUCUUGAAGUCACUAUUGGUGGCUCUCAAACAUAUACGCAGUGCCGUUACUGGUUCUUAGCAGAGUAAUAAUGUUCUUGCUACUGAACUUGAUCGGUUCUUGCUUAUCAAAUCAAGUCUUGACCUCGGAUCAGGUAGGGAUACCCGCUGAACUUAA